UGUGUUGCUAACCAGACAUCACGAAACGGUCCAAACCCGAUCCUAUGCUUAAGUUUCAAUGUUGCAGGUUCAAUCCAGGGUUGACUUGGCAUAACUACAAUAAUCCUAAGAUGGUCAGGAUCACCAUUUUAGAACUCAUAAUCAAAAUAAGCCAGUUGUUGUGCCAGUGCAUCAUCUCUACUAUUUUGCUUCUGAAAUGUGGGGUAUCCGCAUAUAUUACCCCAACUUAUUAGUGCAUAAAUAUUAUUCCCAUUGAAGGUGAAAUCACCGGCCUUAAAAAGAAAAAUCGCAAAUUUAGAAAGAUUAUGAACUUCUUGACGACCCUAAAAGGUCAACAAAAGGUAAAAGACACUAUUACCUAAACUUGUUGGUUGAUGAGAGAUCGAUUAACCAUCACCGGAUUAAAAUGGCUCGUCAAUAACAAUAAAAUCAACCACUAUUAAUACUUCAUAUAACCGCAUGCCACAACACUACAAAGUUUUACCUGGUAAUAGAUAUCAUCAAAUUAAAUUAGAAUUGUGGGGCAAUUGAAAAAAAAAGCCUCUAUUAGAAUCUCAGAACAACACUCAAACAUAAAUAUUUUGCAUGUAUGCACCAAACAAAUUAAGC
rnacentral:lncRNA from 1 species